rnacentral:lncRNA from 1 species
GAAUUUCUAUAUAUCAAAGAUAGCGUUUUGAGAAACCCAGUUUUUACUAUUCUGAUCUAGUUCAAUCCGUAAGACUCUUGCUUUUACAACAUGGCCCCAAACUUAUCCAACCUUUUCAUCUAAAGUGUUUAAUUAUCACAUUUAGUUUGGCUAACUAUAUUUAUGAUUUCUUCUUCUUCUUCUUCUUUGUUGAGAAGAGAUCACAACAAUCAUGUGAUUAAGAUGAUGAUGUUCACUUUGUAUACGUAGCUAAAAAUAGAAAUGCCUUUUUAGUCUAGAAAAACAUACAACAUUUAAUUUGUUUUUAUAUAUGAUAAAAUUAAAUUAAAAAAAAAAGAAAAAAAAACAAGUCACGUGGGAGUUGGAAGAGAGUAUCUCCUCUUCAUAAAUUAAGGUAUCAGAAAACUCAUUACUCCAAUUAUUAAUAAAUUUAAGCCCGUUUCACAAGCAUAGAAUCUUCUUCUAUUUCGUUUAAUAUUUAAGAAUCCUAAGUCUUAUAGUAAACUUGUAAAAAUUGUGUUAACAAAAACGGAACCUUGUUUGUUCCUUAAAAGUUUGAUUUAGACGGGAAACUGAGUUCUUUUCACUGUGUCCAUGUGCUUUACUAAGUGUCGGUGAAGACAAAGCAAAUGCUUGAAAAACGCAUGAAUGCGUGAUCGUUACGGUCAGCUAAAACCGGAGAUGAGGCCUGAAACUGGUGGCGCAGGGACCAAGUUAUCAAAUAUACGUACAUUAUACAUACCACGUGGACGGUUGUGAUCUGUUUUCAGUUUCUCCACCGACAAUCGGUCGGUCCUUGUACUAGCUGGAAUAGUAGUAAACUAGUACUGUCUGAGAGUAAAGUAAACUGUAGUUGUCUGAAGCUCUGACGAAACGGUUUGUUGUCCCUUGUCACUUACGAUACGAUAUGGUAGUUUCUUUCGUACUAUCUUAGAGUAUUACACGAU